GAACCAUCAGGCACCUCUGUGGCCAGCCUGAGGGACCCAGCAACAGCAGAAAACAUCAUCACUAUCUGCUAAGAGGUUUUGUCGUAUAAAAUAACACCAAGAGGCCAUCUUGUAAUGGAGGGAGAAAGAAAGGACGUCUGUCCAGUGGCAUUCUAACAGGGGCAGCGAGAGAACAUGUUGUGUGGGAAGAAAAAAAAGAACAGAAUGUUUACUAACCAGAUAAUUGGCAGGUAGCAGACAUCAGACAUGUUCUUGUUCUUUUAUUUUCCCACCCGAUUGAAUUUAGCCAGUAGCAUGGCUUGCUUUAACAAAUAAAAUGCAGCCGGU
rnacentral:lncRNA from 1 species